GUGAGGAAUAUUGGUCAAUGGGCGGGAGCCUGAACCAGCCAAGUCGCGUGAAGGAAGAAGGAUCUAUGGUUCGUAAACUUCUUUUGCAGGGGAAUAAAGUGCAGGACGUGUCCUGUUUUGUAUGUACCCUGAGAAUAAGGAUCGGCUAACUCCGUGCCAGCAGCCGCGGUAAUACGGAGGAUCCGAGCGUUAUCCGGAUUUAUUGGGUUUAAAGGGUGCGUAGGUGGUUUGAUAAGUCAGCGGUGAAAGUUUGCAGCUUAACUGUAAAAAUGCCGUUGAAACUGUCGGACUUGAGUGUAAAUGAGGUAGGCGGAAUGUGUUGUGUAGCAGUGAAAUGCAUAGAUAUAACACAGAACACCAAUUGCGAAGGCAGCUUACUGGGAUGCAACUGACGCUGAGGCACGAAAGCGUGGGGAUCAAACAGGAUUAGAAACCCCGGUAGUCC
rnacentral:rRNA from 1 species